ACAGAUCGGUCCAUAGGUGAGAGUGCGAUAUACGGGCAAUUUGGAGGCGACGGCGACGGCGAUGCGAUCCAUCGGCGAGGGCGUCUCAGGCCAUGGCGGCGAGUAGCAGAAAUCCAUCAGCAAGUCUGUGCGCUGGUGGCAUCGAAUCCAUCGUCGAGACGUCGAUGCAGUUUGUCCACCUGCCGGCGGCGUGAUUCCAUCGACAUGAGCAGCUUUUGCACCAUUGGGAUAUUCCCAGAUCGAUCAAGGUAUAAGCUCCUCUCUUUCUUUUUAUUGCAGAUCGAUCAAGGUAUAAGCUAGCAUGCAGGUCGCCAGCAGCGUCGUGAUCCAUCGGCAUCGAUGGCGGCGAUUAGAUCGAUGUCCACAGCCAUAUUGCGCGCAGCCCAUCGGCAAAGCCGAAGGCGACGACCAAUCCAUCGGCAAAAAGCGGUGCUGGAGACAUCACAGCACCCGCUUACAGCAUCGGCAACAGCGAGCCCCCUCGAAGGCUCCAACCGAAUAUCACGGCAGAUCAUCCAACGAAUAUAUAUACCAGGAUUUGCCUGGUAGAAACACAAGCUUUUCUUCAAAUUAUAGUAUCAGUAUGUGCACAUCAGCACAUGUAUCGAUCUAGUUUCCUGCACAUACAUCAUCAUCUCUUCUUAAUUAUACUCCAUUAAUCUCUUCCUGAUUAGUGAUUACUAUAUACUACUACGAGAUCAACUAAUUUCACAUUAUUUGUCAAUAUUACAUACUACUGUGAAAAGUGUGUAUAUAUGCAAUAGUUAGGAACAAACCCAACGAGUAUAGUCGAGUAUGGCCAGUUUUGGAAAUACAUGCUGCUCUUCUGAAGCUUUCAAAAUUUUGGAAAUACAUGCCGCUCAAUUUUCUGAAUCUUUGAAAAUGCAUGUAUACUGAUACUUUUGCAUCUCAUGAAUGCAGCCGGUACUCUGUACAGCUACUGUGUAAAAUCAAAAUAGAUAACAAAGUUUCCAAUUAAUCA